rnacentral:rRNA from 1 species
AGAGAGAGACAUGCGCGCAUAUCAAUAAGCGGAGGAAAAGAAACUAACAAGGAUUCCCUUAGUAACGGCGAGUGAAGCGGGAAGAGCUCAAAUUUGAAAUCUUCAAGGUUCUACCUUGACGAAUUGUAGUUUAUAGAAGUGUUUUCUGUUAGUGGAGUGGCAAAAGUUCUUUGGAAUAGGACAUCAUAGAGGGUGAGAAUCCCGUAUUUGGUCAUUCCUCCUAGCGUUGUGAUACACUUUCAACGAGUCGGAUUGUUUGGGAAUGCAGUCCAAAAUGGGUGGUAAAUUUCAUCUAAAGCUAAAUAUUGGCGAGAGACCGAUAGCGAACGAGUACCGUGAGGGAAAGAUGAAAAGAACUUUGAAAAGAGAGUUAAACAGUACGUGAAAUUGUCAAAAGGGAAGCGUUUGACACCAGUGUUGUUUUUUCCGAAAAUCAAUUACGAAUGUUUUAGUUUUUAAGGAAGUUAUGACUUCAUCGGCUUGCUCCUUUCUUUAUGAAACUUUCUUAAUGCACUUUUCGGUUAACAAGUCAACAUCAAUUUCUUUUGUUGUAAAAGGGUAUGAGGAAGGUGGCUUUCUUUUCGGAGAAAGUGUUUAUAGCCUUGUGCCUCUGCAAUCGGAGAGAUUGAGGUCUGCAGCGUAGAUCCUUCGGGGUUAGAUACAUUUGUGCUAAGUUAUAGCUUUUCAUAGACAACUUGUUGACUAUGUUUAGUCUUGUAGCUUACUCGCUUACGCUAUUUUACCUACGCUUAGGAUGUUGAUAGUCACAGCGUGUAC